rnacentral:rRNA from 1 species
AUGCAGGUCAUCGUGUGGUUUGUGGAUGAUUUUAGAACAAAACUAGCCGUCAUUUUAGUGGACUCGGAAUUGAAUGAUGAUAAUAUAAGAAAUCGAGACAUUGAAGAUGACGAAGACAACACAGAUCCCACGGAUUGUAUGAUUUUGGAAACACCCCCUGAGAACCUCAAACCAUCGAAUACAUCGUCAGAAGUUGAGCAGGAGUCGCAAUCAUUUAUCCUUUCGCCCUCUCUCACUCCAACAAAUGAUGACUUAAUAGAUGAACUUUGUUUUUUCAUCGGUAUGGUUGAUGAUGUCGCUCUACUAGACGUGCCACGAAGUCUAGCUUUCAGAGACAUUCCAUGUCACUACAUGGAUCUAAAUUUUUGUUUCAUGUCGUACUAUGCACGAGACUCACGUCAUCGUGGAAAUAUGGACAUUGCUAUGUUGAAAUGGAUGUUUAAUAGCUGGCCAGACAGUAAUGAGUAUCAUAUUUCACAGUGUCAUACAAUUUUAUUGCCUUGGGAUAUUUGUGGGAUAUUUCUAUUGUUUGUUUUCGAUCAAAAUAAAAAAGUUGUCUCAAUUAUGGAUCCGAUACCAAUACCUAUUUUGGGAAAAAUUGUACUUAAAACUGUGGUCAACAACCUAAACCGUGCACUCCAAGUUGCAAACCCUGCAUUCAAAGACGACAUCUCUAAAUGGAAAUGGAAAGUUCCUGUUGUUCCAACAAACUCACAUGGUGCCUUGUCGGGUUAUUUGGUGUUUAAUUUCAUGCACUCAAUGUGCGGUGGACAGCUAUAUUUUCCCAUACCCCAGUAUGAAGAGAAUGAAGCUCAAGACAAUAUCCCAUCAAUUGAACGAAGCAUCAUAGAUCGCAUCAAUAGAUGGACCUUCAUUGCUUGA